AUUGAACGCUGGCGGCAGGCCUAACACAUGCAAGUCGAGCGGAUGAAGGGAGCUUGCUCCUGGAUUCAGCGGCGGACGGGUGAGUAAUGCCUAGGAAUCUGCCUGGUAGUGGGGGAUAACGUCCGGAAACGGGCGCUAAUACCGCAUACGUCCUGAGGGAGAAAGUGGGGGAUCUUCGGACCUCACGCUAUCAGAUGAGCCUAGGUCGGAUUAGCUAGUUGGUGGGGUAAAGGCCUACCAAGGCGACGAUCCGUAACUGGUCUGAGAGGAUGAUCGGUCACACUGGAACUGAGACACGGUCCAGACUCCUACGGGAGGCAGCAGUGGGGAAUAUUGGACAAUGGGCGAAAGCCUGAUCCAGCCAUGCCGCGUGUGUGAAGAAGGUCUUCGGAUUGUAAAGCACUUUAAGUUGGGAGGAAGGGAAGUAAGUUAAUACAUUGCUGUUUUGACGUUACCAACACAAUAAGCACCGGCUAACUUCGUG
rnacentral:rRNA from 1 species